rnacentral:rRNA from 1 species
CAAUAGCUACUUGCAUCAUAGUUAAUAUGAUGCAAGCUCGACUAAGUUGAAUAAAAUUCUAGGUAGAAUUAUGAUAAUGACAUUGUCUGCCUAUGUGUCUUGACCAAAUUACGUGCCAGCAGUCGCGGUAAUACGUAGAAGACUAGUGUUAUUCAUGUUUAAUCGGUUUAAAGGGUACCUAGACGGUGAAUCAAGCUUUCGUGUAAAUAAUAAAAACCAGAAAAUCCAGAUUAUAUAAGAAACUUAUUUACAUAUGAUAAGGACUAAUUUACUAGAGUUACUUAUGAGGGGGUAUUAAAGUACUGCUGGUGUAGAGAUGAAAUUCUGUCAUACCUCUUUUCGAAAGAAAAAUCAUGGCACAGGUAUAGGCGAAGGCAUCCCCUUAUGUGCUAACUGACGUUGAGGGACGAAGGCUUCAUGUAACAAACAGGAUUAGAUACCCUAGUAGUUGAAGCAGAAAAUGAUGAAUGUCAUAGAUUAGAUAUCUAAGUUUAUUCUAUAAAUGAAAGUGUAAGCAUUCCACCUCAUGAGUAAUUUGGCAACAUUGGAAUUGAAAUCAUUAGACCGUUUCUGAAACCAGUAGUGAAGUAUGUUGUUUAAAUUGAUAACCCGCAAAAAACCUUACCACAAUUUGAAUAUUUAUAUCUUUUAUUGUUUUCAUCUUAAUUUUCUUAUGAUUUUAUAAAUAAAAAUAAAAAAUAUUAAGAACAAGGCAAUAAGA